rnacentral:rRNA from 1 species
UACGAAGGGGGCUAGCGUUGCUCGGAAUCACUGGGCGUAAAGGGCGCGUAGGCGGAUCUUUAAGUCGGGGGUGAAAGCCCAGGGCUCAACCCUGGAAUUGCCUUCGAUACUGGAGAUCUUGAGACCGGAAGAGGUAAGUGGAACUGCGAGUGUAGAGGUGAAAUUCGUAGAUAUUCGCAAGAACACCAGUGGCGAAGGCGGCUUACUGGUCCGGUUCUGACGCUGAGACGCGAAAGCGUGGGGAGCGAACAGG